rnacentral:rRNA from 1 species
CCUACGUGAGGCUGCAGUGGGGAAUAUUGCACAAUGGGGGAAACCCUGAUGCAGCGACGCCGCGUGAGUGAAGAAGUAAUUCGUUAUGUAAAGCUCUCUCAGCAGGGAAGAAAAUGACGGUACCUGAGUAAGAAGCCCCGGCUAACUACGUGCCAGCAGCCGCGGUAAUACGUAGGGGGCAAGCGUUAUCCGGAUUUACUGGGUGUAAAGGGAGCGUAGACGGCAGUGCAAGUCUGGAGUGAAAGGCGGGGGCUCAACCCCCGGACUGCUCUGGAAACUGUACGGCUGGAGUGCAGGAGAGGUAAGUGGAAUUCCUAGUGUAGCGGUGAAAUGCGUAGAUAUUAGGAGGAACACCAGUGGCGAAGGCGGCUUACUGGACUGUAACUGACGUUGAGGCUCGAAAGCGUGGGGAGCAAACAGGAUUAGAUACCCUAGUAGUC